rnacentral:rRNA from 2 species
GUGGUAAUGCCGGAUGCUCCAGUUGAUCGCAUGGUCUUCUGGGAAAGCUUUCGCGGUAUGGGAUGGGGUCGCGUCCUAUCAGCUUGACGGCGGGGUAACGGCCCACCGUGGCUUCGACGGGUAGCCGGCCUGAGAGGGCGACCGGCCACAUUGGGACUGAGAUACGGCCCAGACUCCUACGGGAGGCAGCAGUGGGGAAUAUUGCACAAUGGGCGCAAGCCUGAUGCAGCGACGCCGCGUGAGGGAUGGAGGCCUUCGGGUUGUAAACCUCUUUUAUCGGGGAGCAAGCGAGAGUGAGUUUACCCGUUGAAUAAGCACCGGCUAACUACGUGCCAGCAGCCGCGGUAAUACGUAGGGUGCAAGCGUUAUCCGGAAUUAUUGGGCGUAAAGGGCUCGUAGGCGGUUCGUCGCGUCCGGUGUGAAAGUCCAUCGCUUAACGGUGGAUCCGCGCCGGGUACGGGCGGGCUUGAGUGCGGUAGGGGAGA